AGGGAAACCGAGUCUUAACUGGGCGUUAAGUUGCAGGGUAUAGACCCGAAACCCGGUGAUCUAGCCAUGGGCAGGUUGAAGGUUGGGUAACACUAACUGGAGGACCGAACCGACUAAUGUUGAAAAAUUAGCGGAUGACUUGUGGCUGGGGGUGAAAGGCCAAUCAAACCGGGAGAUAGCUGGUUCUCCCCGAAAGCUAUUUAGGUAGCGCCUCGUGAACUCAUCUUCGGGGGUAGAGCACUGUUUCGGCUAGGGGGUCAUCCCGACUUACCAACCCGAUGCAAACUGCGAAUACCGAAGAAUGUUAUCACGGGAGACACACGGCGGGUGCUAACGUCCGUCGUGAAGAGGGAAACAACCCAGACCGCCAGCUAAGGUCCCAAAGUCACAGUUAAGUGGGAAACGAUGUGGGAAGGCUCAGACAGCCAGGAUGUUGGCUUAGAAGCAGCCAUCAUUUAAAGAAAGCGUAAUAGCUCACUGGUCGAGUCGGCCUGCGCGGAAGAUGUAACGGGGCUAAACUGUGCACCGAAGCUGCGGCAGCGACGCUUAUGCGUUGUUGGGUAGGGGAGCGUUCUGUAAGCCUGCGAAGGUGUCCUGUGAGGGAUGCUGGAGGUAUCAGAAGUGCGAAUGCUGACAUAAGUAACGAUAAUGCGGGUGAAAAGCCCGCUCGCCGGAAGACCAAGGGUUCCUGUCCAACGUUAAUCGGGGCAGGGUGAGUCGACCCCUAAGGCGAGG
rnacentral:rRNA from 1 species